rnacentral:rRNA from 1 species
GAUGAACGCUGGCGGCGUGCCUAAUACAUGCAAGUCGAGCGAACGGACGAGAAGCUUGCUUCUCUGAUGUUAGCGGCGGACGGGUGAGUAACACGUGGAUAACCUACCUAUAAGACUGGGAUAACUUCGGGAAACCGGAGCUAAUACCGGAUAAUAUUUUGAACCGCAUGGUUCAAAAGUGAAAGACGGUCUUGCUGUCACUUAUAGAUGGAUCCGCGCUGCAUUAGCUAGUUGGUAAGGUAACGGCUUACCAAGGCAACGAUGCAUAGCCGACCUGAGAGGGUGAUCGGCCACACUGGAACUGAGACACGGUCCAGACUCCUACGGGAGGCAGCAGUAGGGAAUCUUCCGCAAUGGGCGAAAGCCUGACGGAGCAACGCCGCGUGAGUGAUGAAGGUCUUCGGAUCGUAAAACUCUGUUAUUAGGGAAGAACAUAUGUGUAAGUAACUGUGCACAUCUUGACGGUACCUAAUCAGAAAGCCACGGCUAACUACGUGCCAGCAGCCGCGGUAAUACGUAGGUGGCAAGCGUUAUCCGGAAUUAUUGGGCGUAAAGCGCGCGUAGGCGGUUUUUUAAGUCUGAUGUGAAAGCCCACGGCUCAACCGUGGAGGGUCAUUGGAAACUGGAAAACUUGAGUGCAGAAGAGGAAAGUGGAAUUCCAUGUGUAGCGGUGAAAUGCGCAGAGAUAUGGAGGAACACCAGUGGCGAAGGCGACUUUCUGGUCUGUAACUGACGCUGAUGUGCGAAAGCGUGGGGAUCAAACAGGAUUAGAUACCCUGGUAGUCCACGCCGUAAACGAUGAGUGCUAAGUGUUAGGGGGUUUCCGCCCCUUAGUGCUGCAGCUAACGCAUUAAGCACUCCGCCUGGGGAGUACGACCGCAAGGUUGAAACUCAAAGGAAUUGACGGGGACCCGCACAAGCGGUGGAGCAUGUGGUUUAAUUCGAAGCAACGCGAAGAACCUUACCAAAUCUUGACAUCCUUUGACAACUCUAGAGAUAGAGCCUUCCCCUUCGGGGGACAAAGUGACAGGUGGUGCAUGGUUGUCGUCAGCUCGUGUCGUGAGAUGUUGGGUUAAGUCCCGCAACGAGCGCAACCCUUAAGCUUAGUUGCCAUCAUUAAGUUGGGCACUCUAAGUUGACUGCCGGUGACAAACCGGAGGAAGGUGGGGAUGACGUCAAAUCAUCAUGCCCCUUAUGAUUUGGGCUACACACGUGCUACAAUGGACAAUACAAAGGGCAGCGAAACCGCAAGGUCAAGCAAAUCCCAUAAAGUUGUUCUCAGUUCGGAUUGUAGUCUGCAACUCGACUACAUGAAGCUGGAAUCGCUAGUAAUCGUAGAUCAGCAUGCUACGGUGAAUACGUUCCCGGGUCU